rnacentral:rRNA from 1 species
GACGAACGCUGGCGGCGUGCCUAAUACAUGCAAGUAGGACGCAGUUGCGAACGGGUGAGUAACGCGUAGGUAACUACCUAUUAGAGGGGGAUAACUAUUGGAAACGACUGCUAAUACCGCAUACUGAAGGAGGGGAUUGCGUCUGAUUAGCUAGUAGGUAGGGUAAUGGCCUACCUAGGCAACGAUCCAUAGCCGACCUGAGAGGGUGAUCGGCCACACUGGGACUGAGACACGGCCCAGACUCCUACGGGAGGCAGCAGUAGGGAAUCUUCGGCAAUGGGGGGAACCCUGACCGAGCAACGCCGCGUGAGUGAAGAAGGUUUUCGGAUCGUAAAGCUCUGUUGUUAAGGAAGCGGUACUUAACCAGAAAGGGACGGCUAACUACGUGCCAGCCGCCGCGGUAAUAC